UUCUAAGGUGAACCCCAACAACCCCAACUCCUCACUUUCCAGAGCAGUCCACGGAUAUUUUGAUCCAAGAGAGAAUUACUCUGACAAGGAGUCCCUGUCGUUCAUGAUAGACACGAUGAAAUCCACCCUCAAAGAGGUUUCUUGGCGUUGUCACCACAAAGGGAAGAAGCCCACCUGUGGCUGGCUGGCUGGCCGCCAGGUCAGAGCCAAGGCAGGCAGGGCCUUCCUGUCUGGCUUCUUGAAGGCAGACACAAGUCUGCAGGCUGCUCACGUCAUCUCAUUAUCUUUUCUCACGGGGACUACUUCGGAUACAAUCACAGCAACCCUGGCCUCGGCCCUGCCCUGUCCCUGCCAUGCAGCUUCACAACUCAGCUGGCCUAGACCCCUGAGAGGCCUCCAAGUCCCUAGGGUUGGACACCUCCUGGGGUGCUAUGGACUGUCGGGGCUCCAAGGAGCCGAGUGUGGGGGGAACUCACUGUGGGAGGCGCUCCUGACCUGCAGGGAGCUGGAAGGCUGUGGGAGGGCCCUGACCCCAGGGCCCAUGGAGCUCCCUAGGCUCCUCUGGCCACACCUCACUACCCACCCCCUCCCCUCUCCAGCGGUUCCAGUUUGUGGAAGUCCCAGGCAAUCACUGUGUCCACAUGAGCGAACCCCAGCACGUGGCCAGUAUCAUCAGCUCCUUCUUACAGUGCACACACACGCUCCCAGCCCAGCUGUAGCUCUGGGCCUGGAACUAUGAAGACCUAGUGCUCCCAGACUCAACACUGGGACUCUGAGUUCCUGAGCCCCACAACAAGGCCAGGGAUGGUGGGGACAUGCCUCACUAGUCUUGAGGCCCAGCCUAGGAUGGUAGUCAGGGGAAGGAGUGAGAUUCCAACUUCAACAUCUGUGACCUCAAGGGGGAGACAGAGUCUGGGUUCCAGGGCUGCUUUCUCCUGGCUAAUAAUCUCCAGCCAGCUGGAGGAAGGAAGGGCGGGCUGGGCGCACCUAGCCUUUCCCUGCUGCCCAACUGGAUGGAAAAUAAAAGGUUCUUGUAUUCUCACUGCUUUUGAGGCUUUUUCGUUGCCAGCAAGGGCUUUUGCAUUGAGGGAAAAGGAAGCACAGAACGGAUUCAUCCAGGGUCCUGGAGAGGAGGGUGUGGAGGCAAGAAGCAGGAAGGACAAGUCCUCCAGUCGGCACGCCUGGGUCCCCAGGACUGCUGAAGCACAAGACCCGAGGGGUGGCCUGGUCCUUCACUCCUGGCCUGUGUGGACUCUGAUGGGGCUGUUUGACACGGUGGCCUUCAACCUGGGGCCCGUUGGCCAGAGCUCGGCCUCUCAGAGACCGCUGCAGGCCCUGCCUCGCCUCCUCCUGGCCCUGCACCUCCAGCCAUUCACUGCGGCUCUCAGGCUCAGUAGGGUCGGAAUUUGCGCUGGGCCCGCAGCAGCUCGAUCCUCUGCUUGUCCUCCUCGAACUUCUUGCGCAGCUGCGCUAGAUCUGGGGGUGAGAGGAGGCGCGGGGCAGGGUCAGACAGCGCGCCCGGGGAAGCAGGCUUGCUCAUGCUCCACCCCUCCUCCCAGUUACUGUGGGGGUGGGGCUAUGUCUCCCCCACC
rnacentral:lncRNA from 1 species